GGGAAUUUUAAAUCCACCUCAUUAUGGCUGCUCCUCCAGAACCACCAGAAGCGCCAGCCGGUGAUCUCGAUGUUGAUUUGGAACUCACAAACAAUAGAAUAAGGUUAAGAUUCAGAUGCAGCACGAGUAUGGCAGUCAUACUAGGUGUGACAGGCGUUACUCUAGGUGCCAUUUUCGGCAGAGAAAAAAUCAAACCUAUUGUGGAAAGCAUAUGCAAGUCUGUCUUUGGUUUCUGCAGAGUUACCGCAGGAUCCAUACUUGUCGAUGUUGACUGUUUUACAGUAGCGCGUGUGAAAGGACUACUAGAUAGUUACAAGUGUGGAAAUCUCAAAAGAAUAUUUUUGGAAGAGCU